GACGAACGCUGGCGGCGUGCUUAACACAUGCAAGUCGAACGGAAAGGCCCUGCUUUUGUGGGGUGCUCGAGUGGCGAACGGGUGAGUAACACGUGAGUAACCUGCCCUUGACUUUGGGAUAACUUCAGGAAACUGGGGCUAAUACCGGAUAGGAUCUCCUGCUGCAUGGUGGGGGUUGGAAAGUUUCGGCGGUUGGGGAUGGACUCGCGGCUUAUCAGCUUGUUGGUGGGGUAGUGGCUUACCAAGGCUUUGACGGGUAGCCGGCCUGUGAGGGUGACCGGCCAAAUUGGGACUGAGAUAGGGCCCAGAAUCCAACGGGAGGCAGCAGUGGGGAAUAUUGCAGAAUGGGGGGAAGCCUGAUGCAGAAACGCCGCGUGCGGGAUGACGGCCUUCGGGUUGUAAACCGAUUUCGCCUGUGACGAAGCGUGAGUGACGGUAAUGGGUAAAGAAGCACCGGCUAACUACGUG
rnacentral:rRNA from 1 species